rnacentral:rRNA from 1 species
UACGUAGGGUGCGAGCGUUGUCCGGAAUUACUGGCGUAAAGAGCUCGUAGGUGGUUUGUCGCGUUGUUCGUGAAAACUCACAGCUCAACUGUGGGCGUGCGGGCGAUACGGGGCAGACUGGAGUACUGCAGGGGAGACUGGAAUUCCUGGUGUAGCGGUGGAAGUGCGCAGAUAUCAGGAGGAACACCGGUGGCGAAGGCGGGUCUCUGGGCAGUAACUGACGCUGGAGGAGCGAAAGCGUGGGGAGCGAACAGG